rnacentral:rRNA from 1 species
GACGAACGCUGGCGGCGUGCUUAACACAUGCAAGUCGAACGGAAAGGCCCUGCUUUUGUGGGGUGCUCGAGUGGCGAACGGGUGAGUAACACGAGAGUAACCUGCCCUUGACUUUGGGAUAACUUCAGGAAACUGGGGCUAAUACCGGAUAGGAGCUCCUGCUGCAUGGUGGGGGUUGGAAAGUUUCGGCGGUUGGGGAUGGACUCGCGGCUUAUCAGCGUGUUGGUGGGGUAGUGGCUUACCAAGGCUUUGACGGGUAGCCGGCCUGAGAGGGUGACCGGCCACAUUGGGACUGAGAUACGGCCCAGACUCCUACGGGAGGCAGCAGUGGGGAAUAGUGCACAAUGGGCGGAAGCCGUAUGCAGCAACGCCGCGUGCGGGAUGACGGCCUUCGGGUUGUAAACCGCUUUCGCCUGGGACGAAGCGUGAGUGACGGUAAUGGGUAAAGAAGCACCGGCUAACUACGUG